rnacentral:lncRNA from 1 species
UUCAUCUGGCACAAGCUUGGCGCAAUUUUCCGCUAGAAUGCUGUUUUGGAGCAGGAUGGCACAAAGG